ACUGGGACAGGGGUUAAAGGUUAUGCUGGUAUCAGGGAUAGAGCUGCUGCUGACUGACUCAUCUGUUGUUAAGUGUGGUAAAAGUUACAGGGACAAGUUAGAUAUAUGAAUAUGUUGGUAACUUUUAUUUCCUUCAUUCAUUAAAUGUGUGUUGUUCGCAUUGUACUCUGUGCUUUUUGGUUGAGCCAAUCCAUGUCACGUCCCUCAUUUCCGUUAUUCCUCGCACCUGUGUUGCUUCCUGAUUGUCUCCCUUCUUAAGCCUCUCUCAGUUACAACCACACUGCCAAAUUAUCAAACGCUUUCAGCAAGUAGUUUUCCAGCACUUCUUCCUCGCCCUCAUAGUUACUACCACGCUUUGUUCCUCAGAUCUGCCCCUUUUGCCUUGCCCUUGUCGGACUGUUACUGAUCGCCUAUCUGGAUCUCGACCCACGCCUGUUUCAGUUAUAACGCUCUCGCCCACUCCCACGGACUCUGUUCUCAGCCCCGAUCGUGCAUGACCUCGGCCUGUCUGACUAAGAACUCGGAUCUGGAUUUGGUUCUUCUGCUGCUUCACAGGUUGGUGCGCUGCCCUGCAUCAGCACUUCCCCUCCCCAGGCACUUCCUCCCGAGCCCUGCGUCAGCGCAGCAUCUGCUCUCGUCCUUGUCCCUCAGCCGAUCACUACUGUAACUGCUCGCCAAGCCAGGGCGCGCCAGUGUCAGUUCGAAACAGUUUCUGUAUCGCUCACGUGACUUGCUGAAAGUAAUACACGCACCGACACGGGGUUUUGUCUAUGGGCUUGACGCAUGCGUCGACGCAUCGGUGUUGCCGGACCCAUCACUACUUUUGUGCUGCUGCUGAGCAGUUUGACCCAAAGCUGACUGAUAAGUCCUACAGUGAAACAGUCAAGAAGUGGCUACAUUACACACCAGAGAGAGAGUGAGGCAUAAAGGAACCAACAUGACGCCAACCAGAGUGAAACUUGGGUUACCCCAAUGCAUACUGUUUCCCUGGUUCAUACAGCACAAUGUAUGUUGUGCUGUAUGUUGUUCUGACAGUCAAAACGGAGUCAAAUAUGUUUACAGAUCUAUCCCUGUUUUCUUAAAUAAAAUGUUAUAUUAAUGCCAUGUUGUCAUUUUUAAGCUUGUAAACACAUUUUUGGAAAUAUGGUAAUACAAGAUAAUACAGACAAUGGGUAUUAUAUCCCCAUCGUCUGCCAAUAAAAUGGUGUGUUUAACAUCAGUGAAGAAACUUUUAAUGGUAUGUUAUGAUGUAGACAUAUCAGACUAAAACGUGUACAUGAAUCAAUAGUUAUUCCUUAACUUUGAUUCAAUAUAAAAGCAACGCAAAUGCAGAUCUACAUUCAGAUGAUGGUUGAAUCAACAUUGGUAUGGUGUCAGUUAUGGUUGAAACCCUAACAUUGAUUUAACAUGUGAGUCAUCGACCACUUUCAAUUUCGUUUCAAUGUCAGACUUCAACGUAUAUUCAAUGUUUCUGCCUGACAUUGUUUCAAUGUUGUUUCACUUAUUGUGCUAUCUGGAAUAGCACCAUGACUUUGUCAUCUGGGCUUUUCUACAUUAUUCAAGCAGAAAUUGUUUGGGUUAAAUGUAUGUAAACAUGUGGCUGUAUCUUGGUUUUGGAGUUAAUGCUGAUUUAGAAUUACUUUCUAUGAAUACAAAACAAAUUGCUCAGAAAACGGUUGUAAUCAAAACAAAUGCUUGUCUUUUGUGACAGGGUGAUCCUCAGAGGCGCUAACUGCUUUGACCUUCAGUCAUCCUGAAGUCAAGCCCCUUCAUCGCCCAGAAGGUCUUUGUGGUCAUGUCUCUGUGACAGCCUGUCACUUCUAAUUUACUACCCCAUCAGUGGAAUCAGGAAAAUUGAUGGCACACAGUAUGAUAACUACAGUCAGUAUGCUGAAGGGGUGGAAACAGGCUGAAACUGGGGAGCUAAGUUAAUGUGUGAGCAUGUGUGUGAAUGACUUAAAUCUCAUAGCUUCAUAAAAUGCUUCUUCUAUCUCUUAAUUGAAACCAUGGUUCUCUUUUACACUGAUGACAGCUUUAGGGUUCAGGUGAGUUCCAGUUUUGCCUUGAGACUCUUCAGCAUGCAGACUGAGGAAAACCAAGGAUCAAGCCAGUGGCAUUGAGUGCUAAAAAGUCGCUUUUCCUUCCAGGGCUACUGCCGCAUGAUCGGCUCCUGCUAUGAUCAGCCUGUGUCUGCAUGCCGAUCUGAAGCGAGCCCGGACCUGCAGAGCAAACAAACCUUCCUCACGUUCUUCUCUUGCUUUCUCCCCUCGUGCUCUCUUUGUGGCAGGGACAUCUGCAUGCUUGUAGAGACUGAAAACAGAGCUGGCCAGCCUUCAGUCCUGCGAACUGUAAGAGCGAAAAUACUUCUUAUGGAGUUGUUUUUUACUGAGGAAAUCUAGGCCAUAAAAGGUCAAUUUGACUUAGCCUCCCAACUUUCCCUUGAGUGCGAAGCCGAAGUGAGACUGAAAGAAUGUCUGGGAAAUAAUCCGUUUGGAUAGAUAAGAAUAAUAAUUGGCUUAUUUGGCACUGAUAAUUCAGAGCAGAUUAAAGGUCAAAAAGGUUGAAUAUUCCCAGAAAUGGCCCAAUACACAUUCAAUACAUGGGCAGCCAAGAGACCUACAUCAAACACGCAAGACACGAGCAGUAAUAUUAUUGGUUAAAACUUGCCAGCUCAGACCAGUGAAAAUGAGAUUAUAUAAAAACAGGUUGACUCCAAGAAGAGUUUGAGAUUUUGGGGAGAUUUUGGGAAGAUCUUUGAGAUUUUGACUUUGUACUGAUGAAGCUGUAAGAUGAUCUGUGGAACAGUGUAAUAAAUCUCCACCCGCCGUGGCCUGCAG